UACGACGGUGGCAAGCGUUGUUCGGAUUUACUGGGCGUACAGGGAGCGUAGGCGGUUGGGUAAGCCCUUCGUGAAAUCUCCGGGCCUAACCCGGAAAGUGCGGAGGGGACUGCUCGGCUAGAGGAUGGGAGAGGAGCGCGGAAUUCCCGGUGUAGCGGUGAAAUGCGUAGAGAUCGGGAGGAAGGCCGGUGGCGAAGGCGGCGCUCUGGAACAUUUCUGACGCUGAGGCUCGAAAGCGUGGGGAGCAAACAGG
rnacentral:rRNA from 1 species